AGCUCCAAUAGCGUAUAUUAAAGUUGUUGCAGUUAAAAAGUUCGUAGUUGGAUUUCUGGUGGGAGGGAUCGGUCCCGCAUUCUAUGUGGUAACUAUAUCCUCUCCGGCCAUCCUUGGGUGGAUCCUGUCUGGCAUUAAGUUGUCAGUCAGGGGAUGCCCAUCGUUUACUGUGAAAAAAUUAGAGUGUUCAAAGCAGGCUUAUGCCAUUGAAUAUAUUAGCAUGGAAUAAUAAGAUAGGGCCAUGGUACUAUUUUGUUGGUUUGCGUACCGAGGUAAUGAUUAAUAGGGACAGUUGGGGGUAUUUGUAUUCAGUAUUCAGUGGUGAUAUACUUAGACCAACGGAAGACAAACUACUGUGAAAGCAUUUACCAAGGAUGUUUUUCA
rnacentral:rRNA from 1 species